UAUGGCAGAUUAGUGCAAAGGAUUUAAAACCCUUAUAGAAAGAUGAUAAUUUUAUCUUUUAUUAAAA
rnacentral:tRNA from 1 species